rnacentral:misc_RNA from 1 species
GAUGAAGAACGCAGCGAAAUGCGAUAAGUAAUGUGAAUUGCAGAAUUCAGUGAAUCAUCGAAUCUUUGAACGCACAUUGCGCCCUCUGGUAUUCCGGGGGGCAUGCCUGUUCGAGCGUCAUUAUAACCACUCAAGCUCUCGCUUGGUAUUGGGGUUCGCGGUUUCGCGGCCCCUAAAAUCAGUGGCGGUGCCUGUCGGCUCUACGCGUAGUAAUACUCCUCGCGAUUGAGACCGGUAGGUCUACUUGCCAGCAACCCCUAAUUUUUUUAAGGUUGACCUCGGAUCAGGUAGGGAUACCCGCUGAACUUAAGCAUAUCAAUAAGCGGAGGA